rnacentral:rRNA from 1 species
GACGGAGGAUGCAAGUGUUAUCCGGAAUCACUGGGCGUAAAGGGCGCGUAGGCGGCCCGGUCAGUGAGAAGUGAAAGCCCUCGGCUCAACCGAGGAAUUGCUUCUCAUACUGCCGGGCUAGAGUACAGGAGGGGAGGAUGGAAUACCCGGUGUAGCGGUGAAAUGCGUAGAGAUCGGGUGGAACACCAGUGGCGAAGGCGAUUCUCUGGACUGUUACUGACGCUGAGGCGCGAAAGUGUGGGGAGCAAACAGG